rnacentral:rRNA from 1 species
UACGAGUGGUGCAAGCGUUAUUCGGAAUAAUUGGGCGUACAGGGUGUGUAGGCGGUAUGUUAAGUCUGUUGUUAAAGACUCCGGCCUAACCGGAGAUGGGCGGCGGAAACUGGCGUACUAGAGGGUGGAAGAGAGAAGUGGAAUUCUCGGUGUAGCGGUAAAAUGCGUAGAUAUCGAGAGGAACACCGAUGGCGAAGGCAGCUUCUUGGUCCAUACCUGACGCUGAAACACGAAAGCGUGGGGAGCAAACAGGAUUAGAUACCCUGGUAGUCCACGCUGUAAACGAUGAUCACUAGACGUUGAUUCUGUUUUACAGAAUCAGUGUCGCAGCUAACGCGUUAAGUGAUCCGCCUGGGGAGUACGGUCGCAAGAUUAAA